rnacentral:rRNA from 1 species
GACGAACGCUGGCGGCGUGCCUAAUACAUGCAAGUCGAGCGGACAGGCCCUUCGGUGUCCUCUCGCACCGUACGGGUGAGUAACACGUGAGUACUUUGCUCUUGGCUUUUUGAUAACUACCUGAAACGGUGGCUCAUACCGUAUUCCACAACCGUCUGCUUGGGCUGGUUGUUCAAUGUUUUUUCUUCUAGGGAUGUUCUCGUUGCCUAUCAGCGUGUUGGUGUGGUAAGGGACUUCCAAGGCUUCGACGCGUAGCCGGCCUGGGAGGGUGACCGGCCACACUGGGAUUGAGACACGGAGCAGACGCCGACGGGGGGCAGCAGUGGGGAAUAGUGGACAAUGGGCGGAAGCCUGAUCCAGCAACGCCGAGGGAGGGAUGACGGCAGUCGGGUGGUAAACGGGUGUAAGUACCGAGGAAGCGCCGAUGAUGGUGGUGACGGUAGGUACAGAAGAAGCAACGGCCAACUACGUG